UCAAAGACAUGAUUCCAGUUACAAUUUCUGUUUUAGUGCUUUCUGUGCACUUGGACCACAUGUCAGCGUAUACAAAUCCCCCCAAAACGCUUUCAAUAUUGCUUUAGGGCUAUGAUUUACAUGAUACGAACGAACCACUGUAGUCGGUGACAACAAUAACAAAAACAACAGCAGUAACAAAAACAAAAACAACAACAGUAACAGCUGUCCAAAGGCUGACGAAAGAAGAGACACAAAUCUAAAUGAAAUGAACUAUUAAAAAAUUUUUUGAGUAAAACAAACAUAAAUAUAAAUGAUAA
rnacentral:misc_RNA from 1 species